AACCAUUCUCACCUGCGGCUAGACCUGCGGAGGGAUCAUUACCUUGCCGAACCGGGCCACCUGGGGGGCCAUCCAACGCCCCCCUGGAGCCCAUUUGCACAUCAAGGAGAGGGCAGAGAGCCGUAGGGGGGGCCCCCCUACCCCUCCACCCUUUCCCCUCUGCAACAAAGAGGAAUCUAGUGAUUUGGAGGGGGGGGGAGAGAGGCCCUACUACGACCCCUAGGUCGUAAGGGCCCUCUC
rnacentral:misc_RNA from 1 species